UCCGAGUUGACCCCGGCAGUCUCCUGCGAGUCCCCGGCCUCCCGAAGGAGCCGCUGGCAACAUAGGACGAGGGUUGCGCUCGUUGCGGGACUUAACCCAACAUCUCACGACACGAGCUGACGACAGCCAUGCACCACCUGUACACCGACAAAAAGGGCACCCAUCUCUGGAUGUUUCCGGCGUAUGUCAAACCCAGGUAAGGUUCUUCGCGUUGCAUCGAAUUAAUCCGCAUGCUCCACCGCUUGUGCGGGCCCCCGCCAAUUCCUUUGAGUUUCAACCUUGCGGCCGUAGUCCCCAGGCGGUUCACUUAAUGCGUUAGCUGCGGCACCGAGGGAAACCCCCGACACCUAGUGAACAUAGUUUAGGGCCAAGACUAC
rnacentral:misc_RNA from 1 species